CACGUAGGGUGCGAGCGUUGUCCGGAAUUAUUGGGCGUAAAGAGCUCGUAGGCGGUGUGUCGCGUCGGCCGUGAAAACCUGCAGCUUAACUGUGGGCUUGCGGUCGAUACGGGCAUCACUGGAGUUCGGCAGGGGAGACUGGAAUUCCUGGUGUAGCGGUGAAAUGCGCAGAUAUCAGGAGGAACACCGGUGGCGAAGGCGGGGUCUCUGGGGCCGUAACUGACGCUGGAGGAGCGAAAGCCGUGGGGAGCGAACAGG
rnacentral:rRNA from 1 species